rnacentral:rRNA from 1 species
GUAAUGGCAGGUCAGCAUACUGCCGUGAAUACGUUCCCGGGCCUUGUACACACCGCCCGUCACACCAUGAGAGUUGGGAAUACCCGAAGCCUGUGAGCUAACGUUAAGAGGCAGCAGUCGAAGGUAGAAUCAAUGAUUGGGGUGAAGUCGUAACAAGGUAGC